rnacentral:lncRNA from 1 species
UCAAAAGUCCACUCCACUCGAAUUUCGCCAAUCAGGCCGCUUGACGGCACCGAAAUGGAGCUCUCCUCGAUCAAGGAACGAUUUUGUGAUACCCACACCCCGUGCGCCCAACGCCCGGACUGCAAUCCGGGCCUCCCACAGCCAAAAAAACCUAAACCAGGAACAAACCGCGAGCCAGCGCCGUGACAGUCGCAUCAGUACACCACGCAAGGCAGCCGGCCGCCUCCCAUCCUGUCCCUGGCUCCUCCGACUCGCCGAUUCAGCAGCAAACCCCAGCGCCGCGCGGGCGGCCGACCGGCCGGCCCGCGGGCAACUGGGUAAGGGAACCGCGGGGCGCAACGGAAUCGGGGGCUUACCAGUUGAAUCGGGAUCGCUGGCCGGGGAAGAGCGGGCGACGGUAGCGAGGCGGGGGGAGGAGGGCGAGCUCGAGGGGAGUCGCCGUCGGGGAGGUGAGGGGAUGAGAUGGUUAAAUGGCGAGGGGCACUUCGGUAAUUCUGUUCUGUCCUGGGCCUGCCGUGUUGUGAAGCUAGGCUAGGGUUCUUGCUUGCUCGUUUUCCUGUCCUCUCUUCUCAGACUCGGCCUGUAGUAUGCUGGUCUGCCUGCUGUUGCAUCGACGCCAGCUGAAUUUCAGCUUCAAUUUUUG